GACGAACGCUGGCGGCGUGCCUAAUACAUGCAAGUAGAACGCUGAAGGAGGAGCUUGCUUCUCUGGAUGAGUUGCGAACGGGUGAGUAACGCGUAGGUAACCUGCCUGGUAGCGGGGGAUAACUAUUGGAAACGAUAGCUAAUACCGCAUAAUAGCAGUUGUUGCAUGACAACUGUUUGAAAGGUGCAAUUGCACCACUACCAGAUGGACCUGCGUUGUAUUAGCUAGUUGGUGGGGUAACGGCUCACCAAGGCGACGAUACAUAGCCGACCUGAGAGGGUGAUCGGCCACACUGGGACUGAGACACGGCCCAGACUCCUACGGGAGGCAGCAGUAGGGAAUCUUCGGCAAUGGACGGAAGUCUGACCGAGCAACGCCGCGUGAGUGAAGAAGGGUUUCGGAUCGUAAAGCUCGGUUGUAAGAGAAGAACGAGUGUGAGAGUGGAAAGUUCACACUGUGACGGUAGCUUACCAGAAAGGGACGGCUAACUACGUG
rnacentral:rRNA from 1 species